CCACAUCAAGCUCAAGCAUUCCCAUGUCAAACUCCAGCGUGCCCCUUGUUUCUCUGUAGGAGCAACCACCACUUCCCCUCAUGGUUUGCCCUUUCUGCAACAAUGGAAUGGUUCGGUUCAGUGGUGGGUCUCCCGCACUACAAACAAUCCAGGCAAACACUUUUACAAGUGCGAGCACGGUCGCGCAAGUGCACCUUCUGAAAAUGGGAGGAAAACUACAUCAACGUCAUACGUGCCAAGUGGCCAAGGCUGUUCAUCACCGCUUCCCGUGAAGACAGGAAAUUCCACCGCAUCAUCAUCGCUCUUCUCUCAAUCAAUCUGCUCGCCCUGUUGUUCGUAUUCUGCAAGGUGGCUUGAAGCCGCCAGUAACUUCAAGAUGCUUGUCUGUGCUUCAAGUUCCACCCACAUAAUAAUGAAGAAUUAUGUUCAGCGGUCGUGUCUGUAACCAGUUGUCCUUCAGAGGCAAUCUUUGUUUUUAUAUUAUCCCCCAUCUAAUUAGAUGUUCCAAUCGUUUUUC